rnacentral:lncRNA from 1 species
GGUCGUACACGAUGGACAGGAACCUGUAGAACCAGUAGGCCUCCUUCUUGUGCUGGAUGAACCUAGGCUGCGCAGAUGGCCUUGACGCCGACACGCUGCUGCUGCUGCUGCUGCUGCAUCUUGUCGCCACGGAGAGUCUCCGCGUGGCUGUGUUUGAGACGAGACUCAGCGGAGGACUUGGUCUGGCGUGUAGAUUGGAAGCGGGGAAACCUAAUCCCUUGGGGAAGGUGAUGGCUCCGUUGAGCAUGAGAGAAGCCAUUGGUGAAGCGUGAAAUGCUUAUCAGAUCGGGUAGUUGGAAACGAGGCGCUUUAUCACCACUGAACGAGCAGGCCUUAAAUCAGAGUGAUGACUCGCAGCCACAUACCUUAUUUAUUUAUUAUUUGAUGUAAUUAUAAUAUCGUAACGUUGUUGUACGUUGCGAUUACCCAUUUUGAUGGCCUAUUGAAAAAUGGGAUGAAAUUUACAGUUCCAUGAUAGUUUUGGGCUUUAAUAACGUGACUUGAAGAAAAGAGGUCCAUAUCUGGUCGCGACGGAGAGUCUCCGCGUGGCUGUGUUUGAGACGAGACUCAGCGGAGGACUUGGUCUGGCGUGUAGAUUGGAAGCGGGGAAACCUAAUCCCUUGGGGAAGGUGAUGGCUCCGUUGAGCAUGAGAGAAGCCAUUGGUGAAGCGUGAAAUGCUUAUCAGAUCGGGUAGUUGGAAACGAGGCGCUUUAUCACCACUGAACGAGCAGGCCUUAAAUCAGAGUGAUGACUCGCAGCCACAUACCUUAUUUAUUUAUUAUUUGAUGUAAUUAUAAUAUCGUAACGUUGUUGUACGUUGCGAUUACCCAUUUUGAUGGCCUAUUGAAAAAUGGGAUGAAAUUUACAGUUCCAUGAUAGUUUUGGGCUUUAAUAACGUGACUUGAAGAAAAGAGGUCCAUAUAUCUGUAACGAUCCGAUUAUCGGUCCAGUCAUUUCGGCCCAGCAAAAUCCACUAAAUUUGCUGGAACACCUAGGUGAGUCCCCACUAUUUAAACAAAGCCUCCCUAAUCCCUUGGGGAAGGUGAUGGCUCCGUUGAGCAUGAGAGAAGCCAUUGGUGAAGCGUGAAAUGCUUAUCAGAUCGGGUAGUUGGAAACGAGGCGCUUUAUCACCACUGAACGAGCAGGCCUUAAAUCAGAGUGAUGACUCGCAGCCACAUACCUUAUUUAUUUAUUAUUUGAUGUAAUUAUAAUAUCGUAACGUUGUUGUACGUUGCGAUUACCCAUUUUGAUGGCCUAUUGAAAAAUGGGAUGAAAUUUACAGUUCCAUGAUAGUUUUGGGCUUUAAUAACGUGACUUGAAGAAAAGAGGUCCAUAUAUUUGUAACGAUCCGAUUAUCGGUCCAGUCAUUUCGGCCCAGCAAAAUCCACUAAAUUUGCUGGAACACCUAG